rnacentral:rRNA from 1 species
CCUACGGGAGGCAGCAGUGGGGAAUCUUGCGCAAUGGGCGAAAGCCUGACGCAGCCAUGCCGCGUGAAUGAUGAAGGUCUUAGGAUUGUAAAAUUCUUUCACCGAGGACGAUAAUGACGGUACUCGGAGAAGAAGCCCCGGCUAACUUCGUGCCAGCAGCCGCGGUAAUACGAAGGGGGCUAGCGUUGCUCGGAAUUACUGGGCGUAAAGGGAGCGUAGGCGGAUAGUUUAGUCAGAGGUGAAAGCCCAGGGCUCAACCUUGGAAUUGCCUUUGAUACUGGCUAUCUUGAGUACGGAAGAGGUAUGUGGAACUCCGAGUGUAGAGGUGAAAUUCGUAGAUAUUCGGAAGAACACCAGUGGCGAAGGCGACAUACUGGUCCGUUACUGACGCUGAGGCUCGAAAGCGUGGGGAGCAAACAGGAUUAGAUACCCUGGUAGUCCACGCUGUAAACGAUGAGUGCUAGUUGUCGGCAUGCAUGCAUGUCGGUGACGCAGCUACGCAUAAGACACUCCGCCGUGGGAGGUACGGUCGCGAGAAGUUAAACGUUAAAGUAGAGUAGACGCGUGAGACGUGCGACGACGACGACGAGGGAGGAGG